rnacentral:misc_RNA from 1 species
AUUACAGUUUCAGCAUAUCUUUCCUGAAACUCUGGUGUGCUCUGUAAGAAUUCCAACCCUGGAUGAGUUGCCAAAAGUUCUCGAAGCACAGGUUUGAAGUCUUCCUGAGUGAGGUAUUUGAGAUCUGGUUGCUUUAGAAUUUUAAACAUUUGAGUCGCUGUAUCCAUCGUCAGCAUGCUGCCAUUUAGCCAACAAUUAACAAAGGCAUCCCUUGUCACAAAACCAGUGCCAUUAACAUCAAUCCUUCUAAAAAGAACAGUGGAGAAGAAUGAGGGCAGCUUGCAAAUUUCCUUGGUGACAGAUUUGAAUUCAUGUAAUUGUAGCCCAUCUGAGCGGCCAUAGAAAAAGUGAUUGAUCCUUAACAAACAUUGUUCCUUUAGUUCAUUUGGAGCUGGACGGCCAUUUUGAAAGUAAAACUGAGGUAUCAACUCCUUUACCGGCUCACUGACUACUUUUAGAGGGGAACCUAAAUUAGAAGGGCCAGCUCUCUGUUUCAUUAUACGAGGGGAACCAGAUGUACUUCUGGGAGAAAGAGGGGGAGUACUUCCUCCAGGGAACAUGGAAGGUAAAGAACUGCUUGUGGUAGCAGUUGCAUUAGAAGAGUUUCCAGAGACAUUCAAGGGAGCCCCUGCCUUAGCAUCAUUAAGCAACGAUGUCACCAGCCGGUUAGCGUCAGGGAGCGCGAGCCACUGCUCGAAGAGCUUCUGUGCAAAGUCCGGGUACGAUUUGAAGGCCAAAGGAGCCACCUCCGGCAGCUGCAACAACUCUGCAUCCAGCAUCGCCACAUCGCCAACAGUAUCCAUAAUUUAUAUCAAAUCGAAACAGGCCAAACAUAAGGAUCGCCGAACCCUAGCUUCCAAAACAGACCUCUCUAAACUUUUCACUUUUCAAUGGAUUUACAGAGAUUAAAUUAAUUUAAAUUUGAUAUAUGUCUAGAGAAACACGAUCAAGAAACUCAGAUUUGCAGGUCUAGGAAGGCUAUG